AAUUAAUGAAGAGUUUGAUCCUGGCUCAGAACGAACGCUGGUGGCGUGUCUUAUACAUGC
rnacentral:rRNA from 1 species